ACGCCUUGCGCUUCAUGGCGAAGAUGUACGCACCUCCUUCUGCUAACCAACCUUGUAACCAGGCUUUUGAAAUGCAAGGAUAUUGUUAUUACUCAUUACAUUACGAUGAUACGCGAUAAAAUUGCAAGCAGCUUCAUAUCGCUGAUAGUUGGCAUCCUGGUUGCAAUAUAUGUGUACAGGCUUCUGGAGAAGGAUGUUCCCCAAAAAGUGAAUAGAAAGCCACAGAAUCCAGAGUAUCCCUUGCCGGCUUCUCAUUCACCGUUGCAUGAAUUCGCGCGGGCUGGCAUCUGCACCGACAACGAUGUCUGCGGUCUUAUGGCCAGGAAGGCCCUUGAAGAUGGCGGUAGCGUUGUGGAUGCCGCUCUCUCUGCCUUACUCUGCAAUGGCCUCAUCGGAAUGCAGAGCAUGGGUCUCGGCGGUGGCAUGUUGAUGAAAAUUUAUAUACACGAAGAGCGAAAAUCCUACAGCAUUUCUGCCCGCGAAAUAUCACCCAUUUCCCUGCGGGCCGAGAACUUUUCCAUCUUCCGUGACGAGCAGGAGUUCAAGCAGUCCAGCUGGUCCAUUGCGGUGCCCACUGAACUAGCUGGCUAUGCCCUCGCCCAUCAGCGAUUUGGCCGGCUGCCAUGGUCGGAGCUGGUGAAGCCAACGCUUGCAUUGUGUCACACGGGCUAUCGCUUGUAUAAGCAUCAAUAUGAUGCCCUUGCCCUGAACAGAGAUAUGAUCAAAGCUGAUCGUUUGCUGCGGCAAAUGUUCAUCGAUCCCAAAACAGAGAACUUCUGGCCCAUUGGCCAUUUCAUUCAGCCUCCUGCCCAACUGUGCAGCACCUAUGAGCGGCUGGCCAUGGAGGGACCGCACAGCUUCUACAACGGAUCUCUGGCCGAGGACCUGUUGGCCGACUUGAGGGACAUGGGCAGUGUUAUAGGCAAGGAGGACCUAAGCCGCGCUGAUGCUAAAAUUAGCGAGUCCCUGGUGAUUCCCCUCGACGAAUACGAUCUGCAUUUGACGCCUUUGCCAGGCAGCGGCCAUGUCCUGGGCUUUAUAAUGAGCAUUUUGCGACACUUUCGUAGGGACUUUGCACGCACCAGCGAUAUGGGGCCCCUGGAGGUACAUCGAAUGAUUGAGGCAAUGAAAUUUGGCUUUGUCAAGCGCUGGCAGCUCGACGAAGCGGCCGAUGAGCAGCUACUGAAAAGCAUGACCAGCACCAAGGUGUCCGCUUCCAUGGCCGAAGAAAUCGAUGACUCUAUGACGUUCAAUAGCCCCCGGUCGUACGGGGCGCCCGCGGAGAUACGUGUGCGAGAGGAGCACGGUACGGCCCACACAUCAGUGCUGCACGACAACGAUGCCGUUUCAGUCACCAGCACCAUCAAUUUCUACUUCGGCAGCGGACGCACAGGAAAGCGUACAGGUGUGCUCUUCAACAAUGCCAUGUCGGACUUCUCCAUCAAGCAUCUGAGGAACUACUUUGACUUACCCUUUGUCCCAGGCAAGAACAGGGUGGCACCCACUACCCGGCCCAUGUCCUCGAUGAGCCCUCUCAUCGUCACUGAGCGCACGACGGGCAAGGUUCGGCUGGUUGUUGGUGCCGCUGGUGGCACCAAAAUCAUAUCCUCCCUCGUUCCGCUGCUGGUGCGGAUUCUUUGGCAGCAGGCGAACAUCAAAUAUGCCAUCGACGCCAGUCGCAUUCACCAUCAGAUGCUGCCCAAUGUCCUGCUCUAUGAGUAUGGCCUGCUGGAUAGCCAUGUGAAGAGCCUGGAGACCAGGGGACAUGUCUGUGAACGCUAUCUGAACCGCGGCUCUGUGAUAUGCGGCAUAACCCAAAAGAAUGGCACCAUUCUGGUGAAUUCUGACUUUCGUAAACCCGGCGGAGUUACUGGAUUCUAAAACGGGUGUUCCGCCGCGUUUCUACACUCUACACUACAUGUAGAACAUGUAGUACAUGUAGUGACGGCACAUCUACAUACUACAUAGAACAUGUAAGUGUACCUGUAAAAUACACAUUUGUACGUAGAACUUUAUUUAUGUACCAUAAAUAUAAGCACCAGAACACACACACUCCUUAUUGGCUGAUGAUAUCUAUAUAAGACACUGAACAAAUCACGAUACAAAUAUUAAAGUUGUAUUCUCUUAGACCCCAUUUGUGUUGAUAUGAUCUUUGGGUUAUCUAAGCCGAAAAAACCUGCAGCAAAAAAAAGUAGCUCAAACCAAAAAUCAGUUUGAAGCGGGCUCUUGCCCAAGUGGCGAAGACAACUUAACUAAAAUGUUGUUUUAUAUAUAAAUGUAUGUACAUAUAUAUUUUUUAGUAGCUCUUUUUUAUUUUAUUUUGCUUUUGUUUUUUUUUUAUUUUCUUUGUAUUUCUGCUUCUGUGCGCUUCUCUUCUGUUGGCCCUCGGGUUGCAAGACCAUUGGAUUGCUUUUUGUUCAGCAGUUAAUUCAGUUAUUUCAUUAGUAAAAAUGUUAAAUAAUAUUUGCCAACUGAAGCAUUACAAACGUUAGUUCAAAUACCCAUAACCUGACACACAGUUUCAUGGGAAGAAGACGACAAAACUGGGCAACGGACGAAUGCAUUUUUUAGUUUUUUUUUUUUGCGAAAUGGCAAAUCGACUUCAGAUUACCCGCAUAUACACAUGUGUACUUACAUAUGUAUUUAUUGCAAAAUUAUAAUGAAUGGCCUGGCUUGAGUAGUUAUUCAGAAAGACAGAAAGAACCAACGAGCGAGACGCCUAGCGAUCCGAUACCAUUCCAUUACCAUCUUGAAAAAACCACCCACGGUUCUCAUGGGGUCGCUGAUCUGAUCGGAUACGAUCCGAUCCAAUCCAAUCCGACUGCUUCUGCUUCCCACGUCACAUGGCGAAAAACUUUCAUUUGAGUCGCAUAAUCAAACGCUCAUCUGGCUUCCCUCUUCCGGUCGGUCGGUCGGUCGGGUGGUCGGUGACAGAGCCACCUGAGCCCUCCACAGCCAUCGCUGCCAUCUCUGCCAUCUCUGGCAUCUUUGCCAUCUCUGCCACCGGGGAUGUGGCUGAUCUUCAUGGGGGUUUGGUUUUCGUAAUGCUGCAGACGACCCCGACCAUUGCCGAAAUCUCUGGCGUUGCGAAUGGCUCUCCGACCAUUACGGUAUCUCUUGCCUCUUUCAGUCCACUCCAAUCGUUCGGUGGUCAGUGAUCCGCUGGACCGCUGGUCAGUGGAAUUAGGACAAGUAUGGGAAUAUAAUCAGAAAGUCUCGAGUCUCAAGUCUCUGGCCAUCAGUGCUAGUACUUGUACUGCCACUAUUUGCCACAGUUGGCGGCUUAGGCCAGCCAUGCUGCCUGCCAAUUAAUAGAAUUAAACAGAACACAGAGCACAGCUCAGAGCUCAGAGCUCUUACUGUACUCCAGUUUUAGUACGGGUUUUGUCGUCUUAUUUUUCAUCGUGGAAUUGUGUAGUACUCAGGUUCGGGUCGGCUACUCUGUUGUCUCUGUUGUGACCGAACUAGCCAGCAAAAUUACAACCAAACCAACAACACAAAAACGAAAGAAACAAACAACAACAAAGCCAAGCCAUUUUACGUCAACAGUGUGCACUGCGAGGUUUCACCAAAAAGUUAUACCACAACAAAUAAAAAAAAAGGGGGAAAAAAACCCGCCCAACCUCUUCUGUUAUUCUAUUGUAGCACAGAUUGAUUAAACGCUAUACCGUGUAUUUAUGAAUGUGUUAAAAAUUUUGAUUCAAUAAUCCAAUUAAGACGGCCAUAAAAACAAAGACAACCAUAAAUAAUGCUAUGCUCAAAACACGCUCAAAUUUAAGCCAUGCAAAGUGAAUGAUGUAAAAACAGUUUGUUUUUUGUUAAAAAUUAAAUACAAAUUAGUCUUAAGAAAAAAACACAUACCUACACACAAAUCUUUAAGGAAAUAAGUAAUAUGAGAGUUGAAAAAUAUUUCUGAUAGUAAAAUUCACAGACAAAAAAGGUUAAUUUAAAAGAAAUGUUUAAAAAAUGUAAGAAAUCUUUUUAAAACUAAAUUACAAAAAUUCGACUUUUAGUAAUUUAGUCCUGGCAAAAAAACAAAUUAAAGUCUGUCUGUCUGCGACGUUGUUAAAAAAAAUCUUGUUUUUUAAGAAAAUCUAUUUAUUGUUUCGUUAUAAGAUAUUGUGUGUUGUAAUUGCUUAAAUGAAAAAUAAAUAAAACCUUGUUACAAAUGCACACAUUUGUUGCGUUAAUUAACCAAAUAAAUGUAAAAUAAAAAAUAAAAAACAAAUAUUAAUUCUUAUUUAAAGGCAGUGGCAAAACCAAAGGUGUAACCUUGUGGGGCUCGGGGGAGCUUGGGGAACCCAUGGAACCAACCUCGCGGCCAUUGUGUAAAGCAGUGCUGCGAUUGCGCAGUUUGUAUUUCGCGUCGGCAACAAUGCCACACAAUGACAAACACAGGCCCAGCAGCGACCAGCGUGCUGCUGCAAACCGAGCGAGCGAGCGAGCGAGCGGCUGAAAACCGACCACCGAAGCGAUCAACCAAGCAACCGACCGACCGACCGAACGACCGACCGACCAAUCAACCUUAUGGUGACGGUGCCGAGUCGGUUCGGACUCGGACUCGGACUCGUCGUCGGCACCGGGAUCGGGAUCGGAUCGGCGUUGCACACGCGCAGUACUCGCACUCGCAUUCGCAGUCCGCGGGCCAAGCGCCGCGCCAAAUGGAAACCAGUUAGAAGACAACUUUCAAAGCAGACGUGUCAGGCGUACGGUUCGCGUUCGGGUCGGUUUUAUUUCGCUUUUCAGCGUACUCUUGGCAGGCAGCAAGCAGUAGUGUUAACUCCGUUAAUAAUAACCAAUAUCUAUGUGGACACACAUGCACAUGCAGCAGGCGAGCCACAUAAAAGAGUAAUAAGUUCACGUUCAUAGUAAUAUACAUUAUCAUCAUCAUCAUCUUCACCGCCGUACCGAGUACCUACCAUAAUAAUUAUGCGGUGGAAAAUCCAAUGUGAAUGCAAAGUGAAAAUCUAAUGAACGCUGAAGUCGCUGCCCCUCGGGCCUCACGCUAUAUGUUCACAUGGUAUGGUGUUGUUCAUGCAUACACCUCAUCUCAUAUAUAUGCAUAGAGGAGA